AUCAUAACCCUGUCACACUGCAGCUCAUGGAGGGAAAUGCCUUCACUGUAUGAAAGCUACAUUGCUUGGUGUAAUCAGGUAAAGAAGGAAUUUGAGAACUACUCUACAACACCAAACUGAGUCCAGAAGGUUUGGAGUUGCAAUUUUUCAGGCAGCAUUUGUCAGAGUGAGGAGCACUCG